AAUAAUAAGAUACACGUACAAGUACACAUCCUUCGAUUAACCGCCCAUUUCCUUGCUAUCUCUCAAACAAUGCUGCCUUGAACCCGCUUACUUUCUCUCACUUUCACUCCGAUCAUUACAUCGGUGACGACCGCUUGGCUGCUUAUCCAAGUGCUUUAAGGUUCUUUCUCUUUUUUUCUUUUUCUUUUUUUAUUUUUUUAUUUUGGUGCCAUUGCCGCUCUUCGAAACCGUUUGUGUUUGAUGGGUCUGAGGUUACACUGAUCGACGCCAUUCCUUGCUCAGCACACUCAAGUCUAGAUGACCAUCUGGUUUGCUGGUUUGGAUUAAAUCAGCCAAAGUAUCAGUGGGCACUGGAUGACUGUUAUGAGAGCAAGGGAUUGGUCAGCAUAUUGGGCUUGAGUUUCGAUACUGCAUGUUUGUUUCACAUUCUAGCAAUUGGCAUUGUAAUUUGUGUUGUGGGUAUGGGGAAGGCGAUCUAAGAGAAUGUGUUUCUUUUGUUUAUGACGUUAAUAUUCUGUCAUAUAUAGUGGCUUUUACUUGACUCUUUCCAUUAAUUAGGUGGAAUACAGAUUGCAAUAUGUAGAUGUGAAAAUUCAUUGAUAUAAGCAGUUGGGCACAAUUAUUAUUA